CCUACGGGUGGCAGCAGUGAGGAAUAUUGGUCAAUGGGCGCUAGCCUGAACCAGCCAAGUAGCGUGAAGGAUGACUGCCCUAUGGGUUGUAAACUUCUUUUAUAUGGGAAUAAAGUGCAGUAUGUAUACUUCUUUGCAUGUACUUUAUGAAUAAGGAUCGGCUAACUCCGUGCCAGCAGCCGCGGUAAUACGGAGGAUCCGAGCGUUAUCCGGAUUUAUUGGGUUUAAAGGGAGCGUAGGCGGGUUGUUAAGUCAGUUGUGAAAGUUUGCGGCUCAACCGUAAAAUUGCAGUUGAUACUGGCAGUCUUGAGUACAGUAGAGGUAGGCGGAAUUCGGGGUGUAGCGGUGAAAUGCUUAGAUAUCACGAAGAACUCCGAUGGCGAAGGCAGCCUGCUGGACUGUAACUGACGCUGAUGCUCGAAAGUGUGGGUAUCAAACAGGAUUAGAUACCCGUGUAGUC
rnacentral:rRNA from 1 species